ensembl:lncRNA
AUGGUGAGUGAAAUCAUUGUGUUUAACAUUUAUCUGAUCCACACAAAGGCCCAACAGUACUUGAACACUUGUGCUGCCCUUAAAAUAUGUUUAUAUUAUUGCAUUAGACAAAUGAUUGAACCUUGUGUAAUUUAUUUGAAAGCAAAAAGUUUCAAUCUACAGUGCUUCUUCAAAAUAUUUGUGUGGGAUGUACAUCAUGUUCACCUUUCUACAUUUUUGUGUUUGUGUCUGCAGAGGCAUUUGAGCAGAAACAAAUCUCUUUGCUUUCUUCAGAUUCACCCAUGUCAAGAUUGCCAGUUGUUCCCAGGUCAUAAACAUCACCUCUUUGCUUAUUUCCAGAAACAAAAGCGUGCUUGUCGUCGUGCCAGUUGUUCUCCUAAUGAUCUCCAGUGUAACAGGAGCCCUGAUCACCAGUUUGUUGCAUCUCCCUGUGCACCAGCCAACCACUCUGGCAUACGAAAGCUAUUUUCAGUAUUACUACAACAAACCCUACACAAGAUCUGGCCCGCAUCUACUGGGCAAUAUUGCCGGAAUAUAUGACAACCAAGAAAGAGACACUUACAAAGCAACAGACAAUGUCUUUAAUGCUUUUAUUACUUUUUACAUCAAAAAGGAGUUUUCAGUCUCAUAACAGAUCAUUUUUGCUAUGUGACAGUGGCAGGCAGUCAUAGGUUGGCUCUGCUCGCUGUCAGUCAUGGCCCUCUUAGUGGGAUUGGCCUAUGUACUGAGAGAUGUCCCGCCCUAUCUGUCCCUUUCUCAUGCUGUUUAUCAGGGGACACACCGCUCGCUUUGGGCCCUGGCUUUGGUCUGGAUCUUCCUGGCCUGUGAGGAAGGAUACGGGGUAAAAAUAAGAGCUUUGAAAACUCAUAUUUUAGUAAAUAAUUAGGACAAAUAAGUGAUAUAAUUAAAUAAUUGACAGCUAAAUAAAAAUGCAUAUAAGUGGCUUCUGUUAAAACGUACCUAAAUAUUUGUCUGUCUGCAUAGGUUUUGUGGAUAAAAUUAUGUCUCUAUGCCUUUUGGCUCCUUUGUCUAACAUCAGCUUUGAUUGUUAUCUGAUUCACCCCAUCAUUAUUAUACUGUACAACGGCAAACAAGAGACAGCCAUGCACAACACAGACUCCAACUUUGUAAGUAUUGCCUUCAAAUAAAUGCAAAUGAGAGUGCGCAGGACAGUUUUAAAUUUACAAAUUUUAAUUUACAAUUUAAUUAAAUUUUUUCCAUUUUAAAAUGUAAUUUUUUCCUGUGAUGGCAAAGCAGUGUCAUUUUUUUGUGUCACAUGAUCCUUCAGAAACCAUUCAAAUAUGCUGAUUUGUAGCUGAAAAACUUUUAUUCUUAUCAAUAUUGAAAACACUUGUGUUGCUUAAUAUUUUAAUAUAUAUAUAUAUAUAUAUAACACACACACACACAAACAUUUGUUACAUGAUUUUUUAAUCAAAUGGCUUCAUGAUAAAAGGUCAUAAUAACUGGUUAGGUCGUGGUAAACUUUUUUCUCCUUCUUAAUGUCAUUUUUAAUAAUCAUUUUGUCUUCUCUUGUUUUCUGUCGUCAGUUCUACCUGUUUCUGGGUCACCUGCUGUAGGUUACGUGUUAACUGUGCUAACUGAAAAGCCAUAUCUCUUCGAUAAGUCCUGCUUCUUUACCUCAAAACUGGAAGAUGAAGAGAAGAUUUAAAAAGAAGAGUUAUAUAUAUUUAUAUAUUUAAGAAAAACAAGAUUUUAAGUACAGUAUAUUUAUUCAUUCAUUGUCCCCAAUUUUCUCAUUUCAUUCUAUUUGAAAUCUGUGUUAGAGACCUUUGGUGUUCUUAUUUGAAUGCAUUAAAUAAAUGAUUUGAUGUACAGAAUUAACAGAUGAACUAAAGUUUAUCAGUGUAUGUUGUCAUAUAGUGACACUGCCUGUUUUUAGUAACUCACAGAUUAAAAACAAUGUAUUGUGUUGAUACCAUAGUAUAAUGAUGGCAUUAAGGGUAACACCAUGGUACUUAAUGUUACAACAGCCUGUUUUUGAAGUAUGCAGGGACUAUGAAAUGGGUCUCUCCAUAAAUAAAAUAAUGUCAUACAUAAGAUGAGCUGAUGUCACAGUCACACGCAAGGAAUAUACUGAGUACUUCAAGUGUGAGCAGCUCAUAACAAUAAAACAAUGACCAGACAUCAGUAUCUGAAGUGUAACUGACGCGGCCACAUCUUAAUUGCAGAAAGUGAAAGAGGAGUCAUUUAACAAUCCAUCAUUUUGAAGUAAAAAAAUAAAAAAAUAAAAAAAUCCCAUAUCAUUAGACAUUUCAGAACACAUAAAAGCUUUCAAGUAACAAUACUGCAUAAAACAUUGUUAAUCAUCUUUAUUUGGGAUGCCACUAAAGAUAUUCUUGACAGAUGGUCUAAAACACAGGUAGCCUAUUAUAACUCGAGUUUGCCAUAUAUUAUCUCCUCCUAAGUUCUUAAAAUAUGUGGUCAAACAUGCUGUUACCCACCUGUGUGCCUGCUGUAAUCAGGCAAGUCACAAAAUCUGAAUCAUAAGAGGACAAUCAACUUCAAGAGCCCAAUCAACUCUUCAAGAGACCAAUUAGCUAUUUGACAUCUUUUUUAUUUGAAAUUAGAGAACUAUUUUAAAACUCCAUGCAACCCAUUUCGAGUUUUGUUUUCCACUGCAAUGUAAACAAUUUAAAGCUCGAAAUGUUUAUUACUAUGAUUUGAAUUUCUCUCAACUCCCUUGUAAUCAUAAAAUAAAUAUCUACGCUUGAGGACAUUCUCGAAUGACUAUUCACAUCUAUCGGUGAAUCAAUUUCCGGUUCAUUAAAACGUACUUUUCGCUUUAAUGAAUCUGUCUUUCCAACAUUACUACCAUUAAAAGGGUUAAAAGGUACUUGUUUGAGACUCUUAAUGAUAAUAUAUGAUAUUUCUAUAGUCACUAAAGGUUUAUUCAGAUGUUAGUUGAAAAAAGUGCCUGAAUGCUGAAAUACAUCUUUAAAAAAGUGUGUUAAGAACACCACGUUUACAUGAUGUCAUAUUUGUGUUAGCCUAUCCGAUUAUAUUGUUAGUCUUAAUUAUAAUAUAGCGAUAUAUGAAAAGCGACAUGUUUCUAAAAUGAUUAAUAUGAUUCAGAAACUGUGAAUGAUGACGAGUGAAUCAUCAGGGGGGGCUUUACCACUUUUGGACACGAGCAUGACAUGACUCCGCCACUAAAGUAUGCUUUACUGGCACUGUAUCUUAUGACAUUAUUCUUAAGUAAACAUUAUUUGAGAGCUGUGAUACUGUUGUCAUUUAGCAGGUGCAUGGUCUUAUCUGCAGAAAGUUAUAACUGUCUGCAUGGUGUCUUUAUUAGUCAUAGUGUCUUCCAGUUGUUGAUGGAUGCUUGUUAGACCUGUCUUCCAAUUCAGUUUAGUGGUUGAAUUCAUGCAGAGGCUAAUGACAAAUUCAAAGCAAGGUUUGCUCCAGUAAGCCCCCUGCUGGUAGAUGCUGUAACCUCACUUGUUGUUGUUGUUGUUGUUGUUUUUUAAAGGGAAAGAUUAUUUUUGAUAGGCUCACUCUCAGGCCAUCCAAAAUGCAGAUGAGUUUGUUUUUUUGUUAGAAAAAAUAAAAUAUGAGUUCCAGUAUAUUUCUUUCUCCAGUGAAGAAGUCAUCUCAUCUGAAUCAGGAGAGAAAUAUGCAUAGAUCAAGCACUGUUCACAAGCGAAAACAGUCCAAAACAGCUAAACAAAUAUGUGGACAACAGGAGAUGGAUUUUUUUAAUUGAAGUGUUUUUAUGGACUCGUAUUUUGGCCAGAAGCAAUGGUUUGAAGUUAAAACGCCUUAAUGAUUGAUCUGUUUAUUACAAACACAGAGAUUUUUACUUUAAAAGAAGUAAACUGAUUGUCUGGAGUCGUAUGAUUUACUUGUGGAUUAUUGUGAUGUUUUUAUCAGCUGUUUGAACUCUCAUUAUGACGGCACCCAUUCACUGAAGACGAUCCAUUGGUGAGCAAGUGAUGUAAUGCUAAAUUUCUUCAAAUCUGUUCUAAAAUAAACUCAUCUACAUCUUGGAUGGCCUGAGGGUGAGUACAUUUUCAGCAAAUUUGUGACAUGUGGCUUUUCGUCAAAGAGUGCCUUCUUUGAGCCAGCUGGGUUGUCGUUCUGUGAAUGAAGUCAAAGGCUGCCCUACUUUUGGUUGAAGCCCCUCUCGACCUCUUUUAACCCCCUACAGUGCACGUAUAUCACAUAUACAGUGAUUCAGAGUGUGUAGCAAGAAGUAGCGUUGCCCCGUGCAACAACACAUACUAGUGAGGUUAUAUUUAACUGACUUCAGAAAGCUGACACUCUGGAAGUUUUCCAUAUCUCCACUCACGAAUGCUUAAGGUUCUGUGCCAAAACAAGACUAGAUCUGUAAGCAUGUACCUGGAUUGGGAAUAACAGCACAAUUGAACCUUCAAACAAGCUCAUUUUUUAUGAGUGAUUGCACAGAGAUUUGUGAUUUAUAGAAAGGCUGUCUGUGUGUAAAACAGGUGUAAUGUUGCCAUGCUGGGUGCUGAUUGCAUUUACGUAUGUAGGGAAAAAUUAUCCAAUUAAGCACAUACCUCAGGCCCACUUGAAUAUGAAACAAAAGUUAGGGGUCAGUACAUGAUUUUUUCAAACGUUUUUGAAAGAAGUCUCUUAUGCUCACCAAGAAUGCAUGUAUUAAAAUAAAUAAAUAAAUAAAUAAAUAAAUAAAUAAAUAAAUAAAUUAUGAAAUAGUAUUACAAAUUAUAAUAACUGUUUGGUAUUUGAAAUAUUUUAAAAUGUAAUUAAUUCCUGUGAUGGCAAAGCUGAAUUUUCAGCAUCAUUACUCCAGUCUUCACUGUCACAUGAUACUUCAGAAAUCAUUAUAAAAUGCUUAUUUAGUGCUUAAGAAAUAUUUUAAAUCAGUUUUUCCUUUUUUCCUUUAAAAUAUAUUAAAAUAUUAAAAAUUAAAAAAAAAAU